rnacentral:lncRNA from 1 species
AAUUAGAGCCCCCUCUACCUUUAAAAAUCUGUCAAUAUUAAUUUUUUAAUGAUGGUUGCUUUGAGCAAUGCUACUAUUCAAGCUAAGGAUAGUUUGUGCAUUGCAUGCCACUCACCCAUGUUAACAAGGAAUGCUGAACUUGGUGUUUCGUCUUUUUCUCAGAGCUUUCGUUCUGGCUUGCAAGUAUUGUACGUAACAAUUAUGCGGCCCGAGCUCGUCAUUUUGUCAGUUAUCCGGCCCACUGUACAAAAAGUUUGGUGACCCCUGUUCUAGAGGAUUCUAGAAUUCUAGCGGUUAACAGUGCGCGAGAGACAU